AAUCUUCAAUGAGUGAACAUAUUCCUCAGUUCUGUGGUGUUCUUGGUCACACAUUUAUGGAGUUUCUGAAGGGCAGUGGAGAUUACUGCCAGGCACAGCAGACAAGUGAACUGUAGAAAUUCAUUACUACUCCACCAAGAAGCCCCCGUAAGAGUGGUUAACCUGGACACAGAAGUGUUGACUUGAAAUCUGCAGAGCAUUUUACAAGAGUUCUGACCCGGAUGGGGUAAACCUCAGUGCACUUCCUUUCUGUUGCCUCAAUAUUCCUGGAUUGAAGAAUUGCUGCUUCUUGUUAGAAGGUUCAUUUCAUUUAUCAUUACUUCCAACUUCAUCCUCAAAGGACUGAGAAUUUCAAGUGGAGUAUAUUGAAGUAGACUUCAGUUUCUUUGCAUCAUUUUUGUAUUCAAUUUUUUAAAUUCUUUCAUAACCCUUUUGAGUGUUUUUUAACUAAAUUAACAUGGCUCGAAUGAACCGCCCAGCUCCUGCAGAAGUCACAUACAAGAACAUGAGAUUUCUUAUUACACACAAUCCAACCAAUGCGACCUUAAACAAAUUUAUAGAGGAACUUAAGAAGUAUGGAGUUACCGCAAUAGUAAGAGUAUGUGAAGCAACUUAUGAUACUACUCUUGUGGAGAAAGAAGGCAUCCAUGUUCUCGACUGGCCUUUUGAUGAUGGUGCACCACCAUCUAACCAGAUUGUUGAUGACUGGUUAAGUCUUGUAAAAAUCAAGUUUCGUGAAGAACCUGAUUGUUGUAUUGCUGUUCAUUGUGUUGCAGGUCUUGGGAGAGCACCAGUGCUUGUUGCUCUUGCGUUAAUGAAGGUGGAAUGAAAUACGAAGAUGCAGUACAUUCGUAAGACAAAAGCGGCGGGGAGCUUUUAACAGCAAGCAAAUUUUGUAUUUGGAGAAGUAUUGUCCUAAGAUGCGGCUGCGCUUCAAAGACUCCAAUGGUCACAGAAACAACUAUUGCAUUCAAUAAAACUGGGGUGUUUGAUGCUAUUGCCUUGGAAGUAAAACUUGAGACAGGACCUAAUUUGUCAUAUGUACGUGUAUUAGCCAACAUGUUGGCUUGAUUAAUGAAGCUUCCACAGGAGUACUGUAAAGCAGUUUUACCAGGCCACAAGCUUAACAGAAUUGCAACCUCUAUGUUUGGGUUAUAGUCAACCUUUUUGGACACUAAGCAAAAGAUUCUUGCUGUUCAGCAUUUAAAUGUGCUUAUUAUUUGUACCAAUUGACCUUUCCUGAAAUCAUGCGGUAUUACUGAGUUAUGUCUUGUUUAAAUCUAUUCCCAUGCCAGAAUCUUAUCAAUAUAUAAGAAAUUUAGAAAGAUUAGGUGCCAAAAUACCCAGCACAAUACUUGUAUAUUUUUAGUAUUGUACAGAACUAAAAUCCCAGGAACUAUGAACACUCUAGAUCUUAUGUGGUUUAUCCAGUCAUUUCAGACAUCAAAAGAAGGCCCUUGGGUUAUUUGCCUGCUCACUUUAUGUUUACAUCUCCCACAUUUAUAUCAGUAUACGUGAGGUUUGCUCAACCAUUGAUUUUUUUUUUCUUUUGGAUUUUUACCAAGUCUUAGAGUGAUUAUUUAAUGUCUUUCUAUAAAUCUCAUUUUGUGCCGUUAUAAAAAAACCUCCAUUUUUUAAAUC